CGGUGUAUCUGUUGGCGGUGUGAGCACAUCGGCGCAGUCAAAGUAAGCACAAAGAACUCUGAGCGCAGCAAGGUGGACUCGACACAGUACAGCAGGUGAACCAGCGCGCAGCUGGACACAUGGUCACGGAGUCCGAGCCUCUCCCACAGGCAUCUCCACGCUGAGUGACCGGAGAGGUUGCAAAGAACCGACGCUUGAAUCAUCGCAUCGUCUUUCUCGAUCCCAAAGUGGUAAAAGAACUCAAAAUAAGACCCUUCCAGGUGUUACUGGUGACAAACCUGGAUUCACCCCAGCCACUGCAGGAAGGCAGCGGGGAGCCCUGAGGAGUGGGACACGCGGAUGCCAGAAGGACAGCAGGUCUCUGCGGACAGGCAGAGCAGCAAAGGCUUAGCCCAGCCUGUGCAGUGAAGAAAAGCAACAGACACAGACUGUCUGCAACACUGAAGCAGUCAAGAGCAAGCAGCCCCAACAAGAGUAACCUUAACUGGAUGUUUAAAAAUCCACUGAUUACUCCGACAGAAGAGAAAAACCUGUAUAAGGAGGAGUGAGAAGAAAAGGGAAGUAUUGCAAUACCCCAUAUUACUCCCACAGACAUAGAGAGACCUUUUUCCAUGAGCAUCACAUAAUAGGAACAGGAACCAAUUCCUGGAAAACAGUGUGUGUAGCUCAUUACUACUGAAACUAUUUAAUACUUGAAUAUAAUAUAAACACUUGGGCACACACUGUUGUACUCUGUUCUAUUCCAUCCUCGGCACCAGCAGUUCAUUAUCACAGGUUUCAUCAGAAUAGAGCAUUCGCUCAACAGCUUAUACUGGUGACGUCUCAAACUUUACACUUGUGGUGGAAUAAAAUGGCAAGACCAGGAGUAAGAUUAUGGUGUCAGAGUGCAUGCGUUACCCUGAUGCCAGACAAUUCAGAUAAAAUUGAAAGUAUUCUAAAAGAAAUGAAGAAGAUUGCUAAUUCUCUUGCUCCAUCAAAGUCUAGUGAUAGUUUUACCAGCUGGCUGGAAAAAAACCUGGGACCUUGGGGCCUGCCGAUAGCCGUGAUUCUAAUACUGUUUCUCCUCGGGCUGGGUGUAUCUAUCUGUUGUCUGAUUCACAGACGGAAACGGAGGGAAGCAGGACAAUUCCCUUUAUUGAACAAUAAUCAAGUCAUUGUAAGAGUAGACUUGCAAGAAGUGUAAAUGUGAAGUAAACCUCUGAGCUU